GACGAACGCUGGCGGCGUGCUUAACACAUGCAAGUCGAACGAAGAGCGAUGGAAGCUUGCUUCUAUCACUCUUAGUGGCGCACGGGUGAGUCACGCGUAAUCAACCUGUCCUUCAGAGGGGGACAACAGUUGGAAACGACUGCUAAUACCGCAUACGAUCUAAUCUCGGCAUCGAGGAUAGAUGAAAGGUGGUCUCUACAUGUAAGCUAUCACUGAAGGAGGGGAUUGCGUCUGAUUAGCUAGUUGGAGGGGUAACGGCCCACCAAGGCGAUGAUCAGUAGCCGGUCUGAGAGGAUGAACGGCCACAUUGGGACUGAGACACGGCCCAGACUCCUACGGGAGGCAGCAGUGGGGAAUCUUCCGCAAUGGACGAAAGGCUGACGGAGCAACGCCGCGGGAGGGAUGACGGCCUUCGGGUUGGAAAGCUCUGUUAAUCGGGACGAAAGGCCUUCUUGCGAAUAGUGAGAAGGAUUGACGGUACCGGAAUAGAAAGCCACGGCUAACUACGUG
rnacentral:rRNA from 1 species